GAUGAACGCUAGCGGCAGGCCUAACACAUGCAAGUCGAACGGUAACAGGUGUAGCAAUACAUGCUGACGAGUGGCGCACGGGUGCGUAACACGUAUGCAACUUACCUCUAACUGGGGAAUAGCUUCGAGAAAUCGAAAUUAAUGUCCCAUAAUAAUUUGAUCAGGCAUCUGGUUAAAUUUAAAACUCCGGUGGUUAGAGAUAGGCAUGCGUCCUAUUAGCUUGUUGGUGAGGUAACGGCUCACCAAGGCUACGAUAGGUAGGGGGCCUGAGAGGGUUAUCCCCCACACUGGUACUGAGACACGGACCAGGCUCCUACGGGAGGCAGCUUUGAGGAAUAUUGGUCAAUGGUCGCAAGACUGAACCAGCCAUGCCGCGUGCAGGAUGAAGGCCCUAUGGGUUGUAAACUGCUUUUAUCUGGGAAUAAACCCCUUUACGUGUAAAGGGCUGAAGGUACCAGAUGAAUAAGGACCGGCUAACUUCGUGCCAGCCGCCGCCGUAAAAC
rnacentral:rRNA from 1 species